AGUAAUUGUUUAUUGCAAAUUCCAACUAUCCUCAAUAUGCAAUGUACUUACACAAAAGAGACAAAAUGAGAUAUGAUCCUUUCGGACGAUGAUUCUUAGAUGAUAAGAGUUCUGUUUCCGAUAAUAGGUAUAGGUAGUAUUGCUUGAUUCGAUCCUGGUGGAUGUGCUCCUACUAAACGCUUGCUUAGCUUACUCAUAGGACGUAGGUGUAGGUAGUUAACAGUGUUUUAAUUUGCCAUCCGUCUCGGUCAAGCAAACACGAAAUAUUAGAUGGAACAGGCCGUAGCUUCUGAAGCCACGGGAAACUGCUCCGGAAAGAUCGGAAAUCUGAUUCAACAAUAUAACAAUAAGGAAUUAUACACGUGAUUUUGUUUGUUUGUUUGAGUGUAUGUGUGGUGUGUGUGUGUGUGGGUACGUAUGAUCCCCAAUCUUACAAACUAUAAGCUGCUGCUUUGAAAUUUCCGCCGUAAAUAUUCACCGCUCUUUGCCCGGAAAGCAGGAAAUCUUUCUUCAUCAACGUGUGUGUUUGUUGGCCCUAAUCCUAGCUGGAUUCUCAGUCCAGUCCAGUUUGUAUUUAUUUUCGGUUGUUUUUUUUUUUUAAUUUAUGAGAGUAUGUAUAAAUAGUACUAUAACUGCAAAUUGCGCGCGUGAUUUUCGUUUUCAAAUCAAUGCUAAAGCCUGUUUUGCCCUAUUUUGUUUCGAUUUUAAGAAAAUAUCCACUUGGUAGGAAAUCUCUAAAUAUUAAUUAUCACAAUUUUCUAUACAAGUGUUUAUGCGUAUGCGUGUGUUUGUGUGUGGGUGUGUAAGAAUAAUCUUUAACGUAGAGCGCUGUGAUAGCAAUUUAGUAGUAGUAGAGUAGCACCACAGACGAAAAACAAACCCAUACGAUAUGACACUUCCUUCCCUUCCGACGAAAUUUGUUCUACUUUUCACCUAUUUGCUAACCUUUCUUUAGAAAUAUUUACGCAUCUCCUGCUUUUUGUAGGUAAUUGCCUAAUGCUAAUAUUGCAACGGUUUCACACGCACUAUUACAGUAGACCGUGUGUUGAUUCUUCGCUUCCCGCCAGCAAUCCGAAGCACACGAAAUUUCCCCCAAUGCCCACAUAAAGCGGAUACAGUGCUUCUGAGCACUUUAUCAGCACUAUUAGAUCCAUUCGGGUGAAAUUGUGCACUUUGUAACUACCGCGGGAUCUUCUCCUAUCUAACUAACCAUUAACCUAACCGAUUAAAGAAAACCAAAAAAGUUACAAAUUCUCUCCGGAUAUAAAUCUAUACAUCUAGAUAGGUACCCUUACGCGUUCUAGUAGGAGUUUGUUGUAAAUUGUUUAUUCCUUCAAAUAACAAAACAAAACAAAAAAUAGCGUCUAUCAAAUAACCACGAUACGAUAGGUUUCUCUUACUUCCGAGGUGGGGUGCAGAAUUGAACAGUGCAAUCUUGUAUGUGUAUGUGUGUUUGUGUGGGAAAAAUAGUAUACAAUUGCAUAAAUGUUCUGUAUAAAGGAAAAUUUGCUAUAACUUUACAAAAGGAUUCUCAUUCGCGUGUGUCGUCCCUGUUGAUGCGAACGUUUCCGUCAUUCGCAUCGUUGUAUUGUUUUUUUUUCUUCUGUCGAUAAUUUUAGUCUCUAUCCCACUAGAGAUUAAAAUCAAGUAUUAUGAGUUGCUUACGGGUUGGCUGUGUAUCGCUUAUGCCAUCUUGCGGUACAGUUCUGAAACGAAUCUUCGAAACCGGUUCUUCACCGUCGC